rnacentral:rRNA from 1 species
UACGGAGGGUGCAAGCGUUAUCCGGAUUCGCUGGGUUUAAAGGGUGCGUAGGUGGGUUGGUAAGUCAGUGGUGAAAUCCCCGGGCUUAACUUGGGAACUGCCAUUGAUACUAUUAAUCUUGAAUACCGUGGAGGUUAGCGGAAUAUGUCAUGUAGCGGUGAAAUGCUUAGAUAUGACAUAGAACACCAAUUGCGAAGGCAGCUGGCUACACGAAUAUUGACGCUGAGGCACGAAAGCGUGGGGAGCAAACAGG